rnacentral:rRNA from 1 species
GACGAACGCUGGCGGCGUGCUUAACACAUGCAAGUCGAACGGAAAGGCCCUGCUUUUGUUGGGUGCUCGAGUGGCGAACGGGUGAGUAACACGUGAGUAACCUGCCCUUGACUUUGGGAUAACUUCAGGAAACUGGGGCUAAUACCGGAUAUGAGCUCCUGCUGCAUGGUGGUGGUUGGAAAGUUUCGGCUGUUGGGGAUGGACUCGCGGCUUAUCAGCUUGUUGGUGUGGUAGUGGCUUACCAAGGCUUUGACGGGUAGCCGGCCUGAGAGGGUGACCGGCGACAUGGGGACUGAGAGACGGCGCAGACGCCUACGGGAGGCAGCAGUGGGGAAUAUUGCACAAUGGGCGGAAGCCUGAUGCAGCAACGCCGCGUGCGGGAUGACGGCCUUCGGGUUGUAAACCGAUUUCGCAUGUGACGAAGAGUGAGUGACGGUAAUGGGUAAAGAAGCACCGGCUAACUACGUG